CUGGGAAAAUGGAACCAAUAUGAUUGGGACUUGGUCUGUGGAGGAGAGCUGGUGGGAGCACCACCUUGUGGCAGUCCAAUAAGAGAGCCUGGGGUUCAGGUUUGGAACUAGCGGGCUUGAAGUAGCUCUCCAGGGGCCUCAGGUCUUAGCUCCAGCCACAAUCCCAGUUUUCUGCUGUUGGUAAGAGCAGCCCUACAAGUGGUCUGAGAGCUUGUGUGCUUUGCAUGUCACUGACUGGAGGGUGGACCAGGUGUUCUCUGGAAACAUGAAAAAAAGACAGAGCUGUGCCUUCAAGGAGCUGCUGCUUAGGGAGCCAAAGCUUGGCAGGGGCCAAGAGGAGACUGAUGGCAGUUACCGGAUGACUUCAUGUAUCCCGAGAGGCAGUUGCAAGGACAGUCAAGUCCCCCAGGUGGGUCCCAGGAUCUAGAAUCACAUAGAAUACAAGGAUCUGGGCACAUCUAUGAAGACAUUUUUGGAUUGGGCUAAGAUAGGAACUCAUCCUGAAUGUGGUGGCACCAUUCCCUAGGCUGGAGUGUUGGACCGAAUCAAAAGGGGAAAGUAAGCUGUGUCCAGCAUUCAUCUUUACUAUUUCCUAACUGCAGGUGCAGAGCUCCUUCCAGCUCCUGUUACCAAGCCUUAUCUACAGUGGUGGAUGGACUCAAGUUAUGAACUCAAAUAAUCCCUUCCUUCUGUGAGUUGCUUUUGUUGGGUAUUACAGCAAUAAGAGAAGUAAUUUGUAUGAAAACUAGUUCACUUUUCUCGAUAAAAGAAAUUCCCAAAC